rnacentral:rRNA from 1 species
UUUGGGUUGUAAAGCUCUUUCGUCGGGGAAGAAAAUGACUGUACCCGAAUAAGAAGGUCCGGCUAACUUCGUGCCAGCAGCCGCGGUAAUACGAAGGGACCUAGCGUAGUUCGGAAUUACUGGGCUUAAAGAGUUCGUAGGUGGUUAAAAAAGUUGGUGGUGAAAUCCCAGAGCUUAACUCUGGAACUGCCAUCAAAACUUUUUAGCUAGAGUAUGAUAGAGGAAAGCAGAAUUUCUAGUGUAGAGGUGAAAUUCGUAGAUAUUAGAAAGAAUACCAAUUGCGAAGGCAGCUUUCUGGAUCAUUACUGACACUGAGGAACGAAAGCAUGGGUAGCGAAGAGGAUUAGAUACCCUCGUAGUCCAUGCUGUAAACGAUGUGUGUUAGACGUUGGAAAUUUAUUUUCAGUGUCGCAGCGAAAGCGAUAAACACACCGCCUGGGGAGUACGACCGCAAGGUUAAAACUCAAAUGAAUUGACGGGGACCCGCACAAGUAGUGGAGCAUGUGGUUUAAUUCGAAGAUACGCGCAGAACCUUACCAACACUUGACAUGUUCGUCGCGACUCUAAGAGAUUAGAGUUUUCGGUUCGGCCGGACGAAACACAGGUGCUGCAUGGCUGUCGUCAGCUCGUGUCGUGAGAUGUUGGGUUAAGUCCCGCAACGAGCGCAACCCUCACUUUUAGUUGCCAUCAUUUAGUUGGGCACUCUGAAAGAACUGCCAGUGAUAAGCUGGAGGAAGGUGGGGAUGACGUCAAGUCCUCAUGGCCCUUACGUGUUGGGCUACACACGUGCUACAAUGGCAUUUACAAUAGGAAGCAAGAUGGCGACGUCGAGCAAAUCCUAAAAAUAUGC